UACCAGCACCCCGAGUGGUCGGGACGAUUAUUGGGCCUAAAGCAUCCGUAGCCGGUUUUACAAGUCCUCCGUUAAAUCCACCUGCUUAACAGAUGGGCUGCGGAGGAUACUAUAGAGCUAGGAGGCGGGAGAGGCAAGCGGUACUCAGUGGGUAGGGGUAAAAUCCGUUGAUCCAUUGAAGACCACCAGUGGCGAAGGCGGCUUGCCAGAACGCGCUCGACGGUGAGGGAUGAAAGCUGGGGGAGCAAACCGG
rnacentral:rRNA from 1 species